UAAUCCAAUCUGGUCGAAUCAGCUGCGGAACGAGCUGCAAUCCCAACUGGUGCCACUAAUUGCGAACAGGGCACAAAGGCAGCGCCAAUGGAUUUAAUUUGCAGUCAGACAAAUUGCACAACUUGGUCAAAACAAUUGCCGGCAGUUAAAUUGAUAAACCCCUUAGCAGAUCCCCUUUUCCUUAAGAUUUCCCACCAGUAUUGAGUGCACAAAACAGCUGAAGAAAAACCCGGAAAAGGAAAGGUUAAGCCAGUCAACCCCCGAUGCAACAAAUGGCGCUACUAAGGCGGAUAUAGAACACAAUAAGCAGCCGCGAAACAGAACAGCAAAUGGAAGUGGAAACACAAGUGGAUGUUGGGGGCACUAAAUAGUUGCAGGAGUUGCAGGAAGAAGGAUAAGCCGGAGAAAAAGCUGCAGCCGAGUGCCAAAGUUCACACCAACCCUAUCAGGAAAUCCGGGAAAAAAUGAGGGUGGGAUAAGGAUAAUAAUGCGAAAGGAAGAACAAAUAUGCGUUGAUCUGUGGCAGGGUCUUGGCAAAGGGGUAUAUAACAAUAGGAGUGUGUGGCAAACAGCAAAAGGAAUCAAAUCGCAAUAAGGCGAGUGAAAACUAAACGGAAUGGAAUCCCCUUAAUGUAAACAAACUGGGCACGUGACCAGAAAGAAAGCAGCUAUAAGGAUGUUGGGUUAAGGUCCAAGCUCUGGAAAACAAACUGCUGCACAAAAGUAAUCCCGACAGUUACCAGAUUGUUGCAAGGAUCCGAAAAUACGGGAACAUUUUGAGUUUUGGCAGAGAGUUGCAAGACAUUGUAUUAUCCAAAUGAUUCAAGUGCAUCUGCAGCAGUUAACUGGCUGUUAAAUUAAAAAUAAUCUUUAACACCAUCUUGAUUGGAAUUGAGAUUGCGAAAUGGCCA